rnacentral:lncRNA from 1 species
GAGAAUAUAUCACACCGAAAUCACGAACUGAUGCCACAAAAAGGUUGCUUGGUUCAAGUGACAUGAUAAAUUAAUCCGAGUUUACAUCAAGCAAAAAUAUAUAUUUUUCUGAGCCAAUAUCUUUGAAAUUGACAAAUUUCAACACCUCUACGAAUUUAAAAUAGAAUUGAAUGCACUAAAAUUAGAGCUUCUUCCUCUUUGGGGUCAGUUUUUUCUUGCAUGCCGUAGAGCGUGAAGGGAAGUGAGAAGUAGGUGAUGCUGUAGAAUUAACAGUACUUGUCCCAGAUGGCCGUGAUGCAUCGUCUCCAGCUAUGGCCAUAGCAAGCCUCCUGCAUGUUUACACACCAAUGUUAUAAAAGUAGGAUUUUUCUUUUGCAUGAAUCAAAUGUGCAUAUGACAAAUUUAGUAGGAACCUCCUUGUGAUAGGCCCAGGGCUGUUAUGAAGGCUGGGAGGCAGUGUGAUUGUUGUUGUGCGUGUAGGUGUCGCAACAACAACUGGAGCGAGCUCGUGAGCAGACACAUCACUAGAAAAUUCAAUCACACCGGAUGUUAGAAAUGGUUUAAUAGUACUAAUUUGAUACUAAUAUAAAGGAGAUACUAGUGUAUGGCUUACCUCUCUUUAGCUUCAUUUUUUUGCAAGUUGCUUUCCUGUGCCCCAAUAUCCCA